AGCGAACAGCAUGUACAAAGAUCCAGAGGCUGGAGAGCACAUAGUUCAUUUAGGAAGGAGCAGAGGACAAAGUAUGGACCAUCGUGUCUCACGAUUUGCAGACACAGACGGCGGUGGUGCGCUACAACCCAGAAGAAGACGCAGCUCAUUUUCAGCGCCUCCAUGUGGGCAGGAUGUCACCUAUUUCUGCAAGAUGUCGAGGUUGUGGAACCCCCCAGACACCUUUUCAGAGGAUGAACUACUAGAUUGAAAUCAAGAGUGAACUGUUAGGGCUUCCCUGGUGGCACAGUCAUUAAGAAUCCUCCUG